CAUGGUGACAGUGAACAAGGUCGCGGAACAGACUGCCAGAGUUAUGGAACAACAGGACUUUACUGAUGAACAUGAGCGGGUGGGCAUGCUUACGCUGUAACUGUGGGUGGAUUUGUUGGCAGAGGAACAGCAGAUGCUGUGAGAUUUGGUCUAGGCCUCUUGCAUCCCAUCAUGUGCCUUUUUGUGUGUAACACCUAUGCAAGUGCAAAAUGUUUCCCAAGCCCGGGAACUGCUGUCUGCUCAUUGCUACCGAGCUAAAGACACUCCUAGCCAUGGAACAGGAUUACCAGCCUCCCCAAGUAUGGUUUGUGCAUCUGCAGCAGGCAGCGCUUUGAAUGGCAGCCAGUGAUGGGUAAGAUGGACUGGGCACUGACCAACCUAAGACAGGGGCUCCAUCAUGCUAUGGAGAUUCCCGAUGAUGGGUAAGGCUGACAACCUGAGAGUCCACAACCUAAGACAGGCACAUUCAA